UAUAUACUCCCUCCGUCCGAAAAUACUUGUCGGAGAAAUGCAUAAAAAUGAAUGUAUCUAGAACUAAAAUACACCUAAAUGCAUUCAUUCCUUCGACGAGUAUUUCCGAACGGAGGGAGUAUAAU
rfam:Triticum aestivum genome assembly, contig: Triticum_aestivum_CS42_TGACv1_scaffold_557220_7AL